rnacentral:lncRNA from 1 species
GGUAAUAUAUAUAAACAUGCACAUUGUUUGUAUGCAUGACAUUCACGAUUUCACUAUCGUUAUUUAUAUAUUUACAUAUUUUUAUAGAAGUUGGCAUCAAUAAAAGGACAAACAAUAACAGAGUUUGUUAUGAUGUUUGUGGUAGUCACUUAUUCUUUAUUACUGCUUCAAUUUUGCGAUAUCGUGAUUGACAAAAUACCUGU